rnacentral:rRNA from 1 species
CUCCCUGGCGGCGAGUGGCGCACGGGUGAGUAACACGUAUCCAACCUGCCUCAUACUCGGGGAUAGCCUUUCGAAAGAAAGAUUAAUAUCCGAUAGCAUAUAUUUCCCGCAUGGGUUUUAUAUUAAAGAAAUUCGGUAUGAGAUGGGGAUGCGUUCCAUUAGUUUGUUGGGGGGUAACGGCCCACCAAGACUACGAUGGAUAGGGGUUCUGAGAGGAAGGUCCCCCACAUUGGAACUGAGACACGGUCCAA